rnacentral:rRNA from 1 species
UACAGAGGGUGCGAGCGUUGUUCGGAAUUAUUGGGCGUAAAGGGCGCGUAGGCGGCGCCACAAGUCACUUGUGAAAACUCUGGGCUCAACUCAGAGCCUGCAAGCGAAACUGUGGUGCUGGAGUAUGGGAGAGGUGCGUGGAAUUCCCGGUGUAGCGGUGAAAUGCGUAGAGAUCAGGAGGAACACCCGUGGCGAAGGCGGCCCUCUGGCUCGACCCUGACGCUGAGAGGCGAAAGCGUGGGGAGCGAACGGG